ACGAACGCUGGCGGCGUGCUUAACCCAUGCCAGUCGAACGGAAAGGCCCUGCUUUUGUGGGGUGCUCGAGUGGCGAACGGGUGAGUAACACGUGAGUAACCUGCCCUUGACUUUGGGAUAACUUCAGGAAACUGGGGCUAAUACCGGAUAGGAGCUCCUGCUGCAUGGUGGGGGUUGGAAAGUUUCGGCGGUUGGGGAUGGACUCGCGGCUUAUCAGCUUGUUGGUGGGGUAGUGGCUUACCAAGGCUUUGACGGGUAGCCGGCCUGAGAGGGUGACCGGCCACAUUGGGACUGAGAUACGGCCCAGACUCCUACGGGAGGCAGCAGUGGGGAAUAUUGCACAAUGGGCGGAAGCCUGAUGCAGCAACGCCGCGUGCGGGAUGACGGCCUUCGGGUUGUUAACCGCUUUCGCCUGUGACGAAGCGUGAGUGACGGUAAUGGGUAAAGAAGCACCGGCUAACUACGU
rnacentral:rRNA from 1 species